GUCUACAGCUACACCACCCUGAACGUGCCCGAUCUUGUCUGAUCUUGGAAGCUAAGCAGGGUCUGGCCUGGUUAGUACUUGGAUGGGAGACCACCUAGGAAUACUGGGUGCGGUAGGCU
ensembl:rRNA 5S_rRNA 5S ribosomal RNA